rnacentral:rRNA from 1 species
UACAGAGGUCCCAAGCGUUGUUCGGAUUCAUUGGGCGUAAAGGGUGCGUAGGCGGCGCGGUAAGUCGGGUGUGAAAUCUCGGGGCUUAACUCCGAAACUGCAUUCGAUACUGCCGUGCUUGAGGACUGGAGAGGAGACUGGAAUUUACGGUGUAGCGGUGAAAUGCGUAGAUAUCGUAAGGAAGACCAGUGGCGAAGGCGGGUCGUCUGGACGA